GCCUGGGUGGCUUUGUCGGUUAAGCAUCCGACUUCGGCUCAGGUCAUGAUCUCAUGGUCCGUGGGUUCGAGCCCCGCGUCGGGCU
rfam:Felis catus isolate Cinnamon breed Abyssinian chromosome E1, whole genome shotgun sequence.